GCAAAUCAGUCAUCGUGAAAUCGGAAAUUCAUUGCAGAACAAGAUUCAGGAAUGAACAUUGUAUUCGAGUGCGUGUCUCCUAUGUGUACUGCUUGAAAUUACACAGACGCAACAGCUUGUCUGCAGAGAUCGAAACCAAAGGGAUGUACCAAACCAUGAACAGUGGCGGUAAUGAAAUGUCUCCUGGGUGCCUUGGAACAUCGCAGGAGGACUCGGGCAAGGUUCCCUAGGAAACCAGAGAUGCACUCCAAAGCAUGUGCAAGCUUGGCCUGCUGACAGCCACUCAGUUGUGCUCUGACCAUCACCGCUAGAAGCCUGAAUUGAGAAAUUCUACACAUCUGCUAGUAACUUUGUAAAUCAGGAAUCUGACAAAUUAAACUCACAGCAUUCUUCUCAGGCCACCUAAAGAAAAGAAAGACUGAGAGAAAGAAAAAGAAAGACUGCAAGAAAGACUGAAAACCAACCCAACAAAAUAGGACUGUCUCCUGGACUUUAAGGCACGGGCCAGACUGAAGAGGAGGUGUAGGUGGAUACAACAUCCGCAGCGCUGGUAGGGAAGUGCGGGCCAGAGCUGAAGCUGUGAAUUCUUGGGAAUGUGGACCUUAAAAUCUGCUAACCCUGAAGGGCUGCUCUCCCCUUUGCUCUUUGUUCCAGGGGGGUGAAUUUAACUACACAGCUUUAACCAUUGGCUUUUACUGGGCUGGCAGAGGUUAUUUCAAUUGCAUUUGCUGCAGCGCUAGAAACAGAUGUGUAGAUGUUUAGUAUGGCAUUCAUCAGAAUAAUAAAAAAAAAAAUCCAACC